UGCUUCAUGAUUUGUCCUCAAUGCCUGC
rnacentral:piRNA from 1 species